GGUUAAGAAAUGGAUGACAACAUUUGAGGCCAUGAUGGAGUCUGGGAUCCUUGAACUGGACAAUCCUGUGCACAUCAACUGCUUGCAGUACUCACACUUGCCACUGCUUCAAAGAGACUU